AGCGUGUUUAGUUUGGCGUCCGAUCACCGUGGCGACGAUUGAGCACGCGUCACUGAACGCAUCAACAUCGAGCAAGCCGGACAGCCGCAACGGACAGCUCCGAGUACGAUCUUCGAAAAGUCGUCUUUUAUUUCGUGCUAUUUAUAAGUACGGCAGAAUGGGACGAUUGUUCGCUUGUUUCCGAUGCUGCCUCGUCGUUGGUACGGUUCUGCUUGGCAUCUCAGGAGCAAUAGUGACGGUGUUUGCUGGUUACUUUAUUUAUCAGCUGUACGAAUACGCGCCGGUUACACCUGAUAACGUGUGCGAGUCCGCCGCUGUCUUACUGGCGAUGGGAUUCACAACCUGCUGCAUCGGUUGGUUCGCCUGGCAAUUCCUGAAUUUUUACAACAGAAUGCAAGUUAUCACUUUUGCUGUUGCACUGGGUACCAUUGCACUUAUUGAAACUUGCGUGGGAAUUUGGGCCUUGGUGCGACACGAGCAAAUAGACACCCUAUUGCCGGAGCAACACGACGAGAUCUUCGCUCUCGCGAUCUCGGAUGAGAAAACCACUUGGGACCACAUGCAGUCCACGUUACAAUGUUGCGGCAUAGACGGACCGAACGAUUAUCGUAACGUACAGGCGAUUCCGUGGUCCUGCUGCAACAAAUCUUUGGAUUUGGUGGACAACAACAUUGAUGGUACUUGCGGCAAUAUUUACAAGCGCGGGUGUCAACAUGUGGUUUUAAAUCGGACGAGGUCGAUCCUUCUUCACAUAUUUCUGCUCGCUUUGUGUUCCGUGCUGUUGCAGAUUUCUUUUAUGGCGUGUAUGACUUGCUACGCGAGAAUCUACAAGGACAAGAUGAGAUCUCAACUGGAGGUAACCAGACGCCAGCGAAACGUGAGGGAACUGCGAAACAACGACACGCUUCUGGAAGACAAGUGGAAACGUUCUGACGGACUCUAGCCAACACCACAUCGAGCCGAAGUGACGAACAAAAAACUGCGUUAUUUAAAAAGGAGGCGUUGCGACACUGUGAUAUGCGAAAUAUACCGCGUUUCGCGUAGCGACAAUAUUGACGGAUGUAUACACGGAUAAGUAAUACGCUUCCGGACUUGUUGACCAAACAGCGCGGUGACAAAGUUUAUCGGUGAAUCUUCGAGAGUUUAUCUAAAGAAAAAAAUUUCUUUAAGAUAAACUUGUCGAUAAAGUUGCGUUUCGGUAUUUUUUCCGUCGUAUAUCGAAAACCCCGCAUUGAGAAAAGCAAUAUAUAUAUAAUACAAAUGUAAUAUUCCGACGGGUGCUAAAGUUUCGUGUACCUCUUGUUUUUUACUGCCAUUUUACAAUCAAACGAUCGUACGUAAGUAUUUUACUACAAUUGAUAAAAAAUUUAAAAAGACCAGUAGUAAACAUAUUUCACAACGAGUAGAACUUUUUUCUGACAUUACUAAUGCAUUGUUUUCGCAACGUUAUGAUUUUAGCAAUGCCAAAAGUUACAAGUUUCGUCACAAGAUUUAUUUUAUUUUAUUGCUGCGUCAAUUUAGCGCAUUUAGAAACUGCGCGCUAUACUUUUUAUUUAAAGCUUUUUGUUGAUUUUAGUUUUUAUUUUGCAGAUAUUUUUACAACACGUUGUCGUUUAUUUUUACAUGUAUGUCACUUCUCGCUUCUAACGUCACAAAAUAAAAACAAAAUAUGGCUGCUAUUGAGGUUAGAGAGUCAGUACAAGCGAUCAAAUGCACGGUGCAAUAAGCUUUAACGUUAAUUCAUAAAAAUAGAAUGUUAUCCGAGAAUGCGUCAUUCUCGUAUUAACCACAAAUACUUGAGUCAUCUUGACGUUAAUUAGCGGAAUACAAAUCAAAAAUGAUGAGUUUUCUUUUAAAGGAAAUGUAAAGAGAUACGGCUAUUGUUAGCUCUAGAGCAGCUAUCGAGAGGUAUGAAGAGGUCGGGGCCUUUAGAGAAGCAUUAUCUCCGAAUUGGUAAAUAUGACAUUUAUGUUACGUCGUAACAACGGAUCCCCAUGCGCUUUUGUUUGGCCCCCUCCCGUUACUUCGCAAUCUGUAAUCUGCGGUUCGCGGAUUUUUUUUUUAACAAAACCAAGAUAACACAUUGUUUAUCUACCAUCGUGUUUCUUACGAGAGGAAAAGAUAUUGCGACGAGGACGCGAUAAUCUUGGAUCGCGACACGUCAUUU